GGAGAGGUGUCCGAGCGGCCGAAGGAGCAUGCUUGGAAAGCAUGUGCGGGGGCAACUCCGCCGGGGGUUCGAAUCCCCCCCUCUCCGCCA
rnacentral:tRNA from 1 species